rnacentral:sRNA from 1 species
CGAGCGAAGCGAGAGAACGUUGCGUCAGCAACGGCCCGCAGGGCGAGCCACGAAGUGGUGAGUCAUCCUCUAUCACCGACCA